UUAAUUUGGUGAAUGAGAAUGCUCUUAAUUUGUCUGCCAGUGAGUUGUUCUUGUUUUAUUUUCAGAAAUUCACUGGAUCUGCGCAUGUGCCUUUGCGGAUUGAACGCCAUCUAUUCGAGGAAGGCAACAUGCCUAAUUGAUGUGUGGUCCUCUGGAUAUCAUGCCUAAUUGAUGUGUGGUCCUCUGGAUAUUGAUUGAACAUUUACGGCUGUAGUUGUAUAAAUUGGUGAAACUAAGGCCUCCAUGCUGCUUGCAUCAACCUUUUGGGGUGCUGACAGUGGAACAGUGGCCCUGCGAGACCAAGUGUUUACAGAUUCGCAUGUUGCAGUGAAUGAUGCCGACUAUGGGAAUGUGAACGGAUUUCUAUGCAACCUUUGCCCUUUUGUGAGCAGUCAUAGGUCUAGCCUCAAUAGACACAUUCGCGAGACGCAUAAAGGAAAGAAGCCCUUUUUCUGUACAGCAUGUUCAGUCUCAUUUAAGCGGGCUGAACGGCUCAGGGACCACAUAUGCCCCUCUAGGUCCUUAAGGUAAUUCGCAUCUGUUACCGCAAAUUUGUGCACAAACACGCUGAAAAUGCAUCCAUGUGAAAAGUACACACACGUUAAUUUUUUCUUGACCUGGAUCCAGCUACAUUUAAAUAAACAAUUUAUGCUUAAGCAUUCAUUUUGUUUAAGUGAUUAUGUCUUAUUUAUAUAAUACCUGUGGCAGUCCAUUUGGUUCAGGUUUAAUAUACGUUUUCUUCCUUUGUUAAAAAUUUUAAAAAAAGAAAUGGAAUAAAACCAUCUGCAAAAGUUUAUACAUUUGACAGCAUAACUCUGACGCAUUAUUUCAGUUGAGUGUCCAUUAUUAUGUGUGGAGGAGUUACUCUUUGCAAAGAGACUGUCGUUCCAUUAUUUAUAUUGAGGUGUAAUAUAUCCUGUAUAAGUCUGAAAA